GCCAGAAUGGCGUAGUAGUUUGAGUGUUGGAUUAUGAUUCCAGAGGCCCAGGUUCAAUUCCCAUUUCAUUCA